rnacentral:rRNA from 1 species
AUUGAACGCUGGCGGCAUGCCUUACACAUGCAAGUCGAACGGCAGCGCGGGAGCAAUCCUGGCGGCGAGUGGCGAACGGGUGAGUAAUAUAUCGGAACGUGCCCAUUAGUGGGGGAUAGCCCGGCGAAAGCCGGAUUAAUACCGCAUACGACCUGAGGGUGAAAGCGGGGGAUCGCAAGACCUCGCGCUAUUGGAGCGGCCGAUAUCAGAUUAGCUAGUUGGUGGGGUAAAGGCCUACCAAGGCAACGAUCUGUAGUUGGUCUGAGAGGACGACCAGCCACACUGGGACUGACACACGGCCCAGACUCCUACGGGAGGCAGCAGUGGGGAAUUUUGGACAAUGGGCGCAAGCCUGAUUCAGCAAUGCCGCGUGCAGGAAGAAGGCCUUCGGGUUGUAAACUGCUUUUGUCAGGGAAGAAAUCCUUUGGGCUAAUACCUCGGAGGGAUGACGGUACCUGAAGAAUAAGCACCGGCUAACUACGUGCCAGCAGCCGCGGUAA